rnacentral:lncRNA from 1 species
AGUUCGGGCGGGAGGCUGUCUCGGGCCCACUCUCGGAAGAACUUCUGCAAGACGGGUAAAAGAGCAGGCCUUAAAGAUGGGACACUUAUGGCUGAUCGGUUACUUCACGGUCCGAAAUACCACUUCUAAUUCCGGAAAGGGUUUAAAACUAUUUUAAAAUGUCAAGCGUUUAAGACUUGACGGAACAGGGCAAAAAACAUUACCUUCCUUUAAGGAACACCGUUUACACCACUACCGCUUAUUCCGUAGUUUGUUAUAACUGUAGUUAAUGUGUACGGUACCUUAAGAAAACGAACUCCAUUCUUUAUUUUGGCAAACUCCUAAGUAUUUAAUAUUAUAAUGUCAUUUGUAUAAUAAUUUACAGUUAGAUCUCUCAUACACAUAAUUUGUAUGGAUCAAAAGAGACCUCUGUAAGUUUGGGAUGGUGUUUUGCAGGUGAGAAAAGUGUGAUGCUUAAGGAAGGAUAUUUAACAAACAGAAGUAGCGCACAAACUUAGAUCUUCUGUUAUUAAGUGAAAGCUCUUUUCCUUGAUGUUAGUGUGUAUUUCUUUUUCUUUUUCUUUUUUCUUUUGAGAUGGAGUCUCGCUCUGUCGCCCAGGCUGGAGUGCAGUGACUCGAUCUCGGCUCACUGCAGCCUCCAUCUCCUGGGUUCCAGCGAUUCUCCUUCCUCAGUCUCCCGGGUAGCUGGGAUUUACAGGUACGCGCCACCACGACUGGCUAAUUUUUGUAUUUUUAGUAGAGACGGGGUUUCACCAUGUUGGCCAGGCUGGUCUCGAACUCCUGACCUCAGGUGAUCCGCCUGCGUCGGCUUCCCAAAGUGCUAGGAAUACAGGCGUGAGCCUCCAUGCCCGGCCCAUUUUUUUUUUUAAACUUUUUAGUUUCAAAUAAUUUUAAGCUUACAGAAAAGUUGUAAAAAUAAUAGAGAACUCCUGUUGUCCUUUACUCAGAUUAACCAAUUCUUAACAUUUUGCCACACUUGUUUUUACUAUUCUUCAUGUGUAAUAUACAUGUAUAAAUAUAUAAAUAAGCCUAUUAUUUGUAUUUUAUGAAUCAUUCUAAAAUAGGUUACAUACACUAUGCUCUUAUACCCCUUAUUUCUAAAGUGUGAAUUUCUUAAGAACCAGGGUAUCCUCUUGUAUGUUUAUCAAAUUAAGGAUAUUUAGCAUUGAUACAAUAUUUAUAUUUAAUCUAAUCUACAGUUCAUAUUCCGAUUUGUCAAUUGUUCCAGUAAUGUCUUUAUUUAACAUUUUUUCCUUCCAGUAUAGAUCUAGUACAGGAUCACAUACCGUAUUUAGUUACCAUAUCUUUUUAAUUUCCUUUAAUAUGGAAGAGUUCCUCAGCAUUUGUAUUUUUGUGACAUUGAGAUUUUUGAAGAGUGCAGGCCAAUUAUUUAUCAUUCGUUCAUUUGUUCAUUCCAGUAUUACUGAGGUAUAGUUGACAAAAAUUGUAUUUAUUCAAGUUGUACAGCAUGAUGAUUUCAUAUACAUUGUGAAAUGAUUACAACAAUCAAAUUAACACAUUGUCACCACUCUUAGGAGUGUGUGUGUGUGUGUGUGUGUGUGUUAAGGGCCAGUUAUUUUACAGAAUCUUCCCUACUUUGGGUUUGUCUCGUGUUUCCUCAUGAUUAGAUUCAGGUUAUGUAUUCCUGAUUGUAAUAUUACAUACAUGAGGUUAUAUUCUUUCCAAGAGACCACAUUUGGAGGCACGUGAUAUUGUUUGUCUCUCAUUAGUGAUGUUAAUUUGAUCCCAGUUUCUCCACUGUAUAAAUUGCUGGUUUUCUACUUGCAACUAAUAAGCAAUCUAUGGGGGAGACACUUGAAUUUCCUGCAAAUAUUCUGCUCCUCAGCAAACCCCUCUCUCACAAUUUAGCAGUAUUAUUGAUUUUUCCUAAACUAGUCUUUACUAUGAUAGUUACAAAAUGAUAAUUGUUCUCUUUCCAUAUGUAUUAGAAACAAUUUUGCCAAAAAGAUGAGCCCCGCCUGGUGUGGUGGCUCAAGUCUGUGAUCCCAGCACUUUGGGAAGUUGAGGCAAGCAGAUCGCUUGAGCCCAGGAGUUCCAGAUCAGCCUGGGCAAAAUAGUGGAAACACAGUCUCUACAAAAAAUACAAAAAUUAGCCAGGGGAGGUGACUUGCACCUGUGGUCCCAGCCACUCAGGAAGCUGAGGUGGAAAGAUCACUUGAGCCUGGGUGGCAAAGGCUGCAGUGUGCCAGGUUCAUGCCACUGCACCACAGCCUGGGCGACAGAGCGAUACCCUGUCUCCAAACAAACAAACAAACAAAAAACAACCAGAAGAGCCCUACAUUUUGCCCUGUUUAAUGAUAUACAGAUGGUCCCCAACUUAUUAUUAUGAUGGUACAAUUUAUGAUAUUUUGUCUUUACAAUGUAUUUAUAAGGCUAUUAAAUGCAUUUUUUGACUUAGGA